GAUGAACGCUGGCGGCGUGCCUAAUACGUGCAAGUCGAGCGAACAGAUGAGAAGCUUGCUUCUCUGAUGUUAGCGGCGGACGGGUGAGUAACACGUGGGUAACCUACCUAUAAGACUGGGAUAACUCCGGGAAACCGGGGCUAAUACCGGAUAAUAUUUUGAACCGCAUGGUUCAAUAGUGAAAGACGGUUUCGGCUGUCACUUAUAGAUGGACCCGCGCCGUAUUAGCUAGUUGGUAAGGUAACGGCUUACCAAGGCGACGAUACGUAGCCGACCUGAGAGGGUGAUCGGCCACACUGGAACUGAGACACGGUCCAGACUCCUACGGGAGGCAGCAGUAGGGAAUCUUCCGCAAUGGGCGAAAGCCUGACGGAGCAACGCCGCGUGAGUGAUGAAGGUCUUCGGAUCGUAAAACUCUGUUGUUAGGGAAGAACAGAUUUGUUAGUAACUGGACAAGUCUUGACGGUACCUAACCAGAAGGCCACGGCUAACUACGUGCCAGCAGCCGCCGCUG
rnacentral:rRNA from 1 species